UAAUAAUAAUAAUAAUAAUAAUAAUAAUAAUAAUAAUAAUAAUGAAUACCAACAGAUGACAAUGUUUCUCUAAAAGAAACAGUGAAACUUCCAAAAUACAAAGCGCUGGAAAUAGAGUUAACUUGAAUGUGGAGCCUA